rnacentral:lncRNA from 1 species
CCAUAAGAACAUAUAUUUAGAAUUAGUGAACAUACAUUGCAAGGACAAGAAAAAAAGUUAAAUUAUUCAACAAUUUAUUCUAAUUAUGAGUAAAAGACAAGAAAAUUAAAUAAAACCAGUCAACAGUGUAACAUAAUCCACUUACCAAUAAAAAAUCAAAGAAAUAUUCAAUUCAAUUGGAUCCAAGAACACACUGAGACCUAUAGUGCAAGAAAAAGUAAAAAAAAAACAAAAUUUAAAACAAGAACCUUAAUAAGAUUAAUAAGGUUAAUACACGAUAGAUAUAAAUUAAGGAUUUAAUUGAAAUACACUGACAGUGUAAAAGGAUUUUACACCGUCAGUUAAUUAUAGCCGUUGGAUGUUGAAACAAGUUUGAUUUUUAUUUUAAAAAUCUAUAAAGUAAUGCAAACGGGUGAUGAUGAUGAAUCGAUUGUGUAAAAAUUUUUACACUGACAGUGUAUAGUAAUUAAUCUCAUAAAUUAAUCUUAAUUAGAUUAAGAAUAUGAAAUUACCAAAUAGUUCUGUUGUCAAGGUCCCAAUCCCCAACCAGAACAGCGAGGGCGAAGAAAUCUACACAAAAUUUCGAGUCAAAUACAGAAUCCAUAAAACGAACCUUGAUUAUAACAUUAAAAAAAACAAUGUUCAUUCCAAGAAUAGAGAAACGAACGUAACUUUGGAAGACCAAACGAUUUUCUGAACAUAGAACAAACACUCUGAGCUAAAGCGUUUAUUUCAUACGUCGGUGUAUAUAUAAGCCCACAAAGAUAAAAAGAAAGAGAACCCAAGGGUUUUCAUUACAAUUAACUUAGUCUAGUUAAUUAAUUUAAUGUUGUUAGGGUUUUCUUUAUUAAUCGUUCGAUACUACUAUAAUAUAAAAACAAACAUUCUAUAUUUAUGACUAAUAGAAAAUGAUAGAACAUUUAAGGGAUUAUUAGGACAAUAAUAGGAACUGAUAAUUUAUUAGGAGAAUAAAAAUAAUUAGUUAAGGAACUAAUUAAAGUCUACCAAAAAAUAAAAAAUAAAUAUUAAUGAAACUUCCUUUUCUUUUUUAUGUCUUAUUCAAAUAUAUAUAUAGUAUAUAUAAUAUUAUUAUAUAAUAUAUAUAUUAUAUAUAUAUAUAUACUAUAUAUAAUAUAUAUAUAAAUAUAUAUAUACUUAUAUUAUAUAGUAAUAUAAUAAGAGAGAGAGAGAGAGAAGAGAGAGAGAAGAGAGAGAGAGAGAGAGAGAGAGAGAGAGAGAGAGAGAGAGAGAGAGAGAGAGAGAGAGAGAGAGAGAGAGAGAGAGAGAGAGAGACAAGAGAGAGAGAGAGAGAUUAACGUGCUUAGCACCUACAUUGUAAAAAAGUUUUACUACGUCAAAUCAUGCACAAUCAUACCUGUGAUACUUUUUUAAUAUUAAAAAACAAAAAAGUCAAACAUUUAAAUAAAAUAUGUGAGAUUAACUGCGGUGUAUAAAAAUCCUACACGUCAGUAUAAUACCAUUUAUAUAUAUAUAUAUAUAGAUAUAGUAUAUAAUAAAUAUAUAUAAUAAUAUAUAAUAUAAUAUAUAAUAUAUAUAUAAUAUAUAUAUAAUAAAUAAUAUAAUAAUAAAUUUUCCUAUUUUUUAAAUCAAAUUAAUUAGAUUAUUUUUUUAAUAUAUUGGUUGAUAUCACAUCUUAUCGAUUAACAUACUCAAUUUAAAAUCAAUUUAAACCCACUAAAACAUUAUGUUCUAUACCCUUGUGUAUUAGACAUUUUUUCAAACAAUUUUUCUCCGUCCCCGAUGCAUUGAGACCCUUUUCAAAAAAAGCUAAAAAUAGCAUACACAUAAACAUUAUCUAGAUAAACUACGAUGCUCUGAUCCUUCAACACAUUUAAAGGUACAUAGACAUAGAGUUGUAACACUCUAGCGAGUACAAUAACACAAGAACUUUUUCCUUGUCAUUCUUUUUAAUCAAGUAUUUUUUCUUAAUAAUAACUCAAUCCUUUAUAAAUAAGUAAUUAAUAAAUUGAUAAACAAUAUGAGCAAACAUCCCAUAGAAAACGUAGAAACCCUAGAAGUAUAGGAGGAUCCCAUUGAGUACAAUAGAAGUAAGGGGUGCCUAACACCUUCCCCUUAUUUAACCGACUCCCGAAUCCUAAUGUCUCACCCAAUAUCUUUAGGUUUUAUCAUUAUUUCCUUGUUCUUUAGGAACGAAUAAAGGAUGAUGGCGACUCUAUAAUUCUCCAGUCGCGACACUACGAUUUGCGUAGUUUAACCUGACGUGCUCAUUUUAUUUUUCGACUCCUUUUCCGAUCAUAUUUUGAUCAGCCUAAGUCUUUUAAUCGAUCAUUUUUUAUUUCAAAAAUUGAUCAAAAAUAAAAAUCUGGGUGUCAUUGCCGUCAAACAUACUCAUUACUACAGAAUAGUGUUCGGAUAUUUGAAAUACUAAGAUUAAUAAUUAGAAUGUUUGUCUUCACGAAACACCCACUAUUAACACUAUUUAAUAUAUUGCUGGAACUCUCAAACAUCCGAUUAACUUAACUGGAUUCGCUGCUAGUCUGAACCAUUCCCACUAUUUAUGACAUAAUAAUUAGUCCUGAAUCUCAUUAAACUAUAUAAGUAUGAUUAAGUACAAUCAGAGUUCAAUAACCACCGACUUAAAUGUUAGCGGUUAAAUAUCUUAGACAGAGACACCACAAUUUAAACAUAUAAUAGUUAUUUGGAACCGUCUGAAAACACGCCCGACUAAACUAUAAAGUGGUGGUAGUCCGUAAGAAAUCUUGUAAAAUAGACAUAAAAAACCUACCUUAGCAAAUAUGGGAAAGGGUAUGACUGAUCUCAGAAGAAGCAAACAACUCUUAGGCUAACCAAGAGAUAAACAAUAUAAGAUCAUAUUUAACAAAUAUGCAGAAAGGUAGUGAAAUUGAUCUACCAAAACACAACAAACCUUAAAAACCGACGUUAAAGUUUUGAAUAAGCUAGACAAGAACAAACAAUAAAGGAGAUCACUAUUUUACAAAUCAGCAAAAGCAAUGUCAUUUAUUCAAAUAAACAUAAUACAAAACCUAAAUAUUAACAACGAAAUAAGUUAAAACAAAAACAAUAGGCAAAUCUAGCUUCGACACUAGAACGAAGAGGCACCAUAUAUCUCGAAUAAAUAUGCAACCAAAAUAAUUAAAAAUUGAAAACAAAAUAAAAAAUACAAUAAAUAAAGUGAGCCGAAAUACUGGAACUGUUGUAAAACUACAGAUUUAAUUUUAAUUAAUGGUCUUGCUGGUCAGAGACACAUUCGCAUUAACAUAAUAAUAGGUUCGAUACAUCUAAUACCCAAACAAUAAAUUAGGGUGGGAUCUAGACAGAGGAACACACAUUAAACAUGAUAAUAAUGGUAACUUUGACAAACAACGCAAAUUAACUUAAUAUUCCUGUUUGCUUCAAUAAUACCCAUUAUUACACAUAAUUAAAUGUUAGAUCAUCGAUUGUAAAAUACACACUAGUUAAUAGAAACGUUACCGUUUAACACCUAAAACUUAACUUAAUAAUGGUUCAAAUUAAUAUGCUAUAUCUUAAACACCAGGACUUAAUUAUGGUGUAGUAGUCUAUCCAAGACACCCAUUAUUAAACAAAUACAAAAUGUCUGAUACCGUUGUAAAAAUCCAUUGUUAAAUAUGUUUCUCUGACGCAGACAAAAAAAAACAAAAAAAAAAAAAAAAAAACAAAAAAGAAAAAAAAAACAAAAAUACCAACACCCACUAAUUAAAGUAAAUUAGUGUUAAAACGAGUACUAACACACUUAUAAUAUUAAAUAUGGAUCCAACCAACAAAGAACCUCGCAAUUAAAGUAGUCCUGAGGUUUAGCAAACGAUACCGAAACCAUGACUUAUAUUAAUAAGGUGUCCUUACCAAACACCACACCCACUAAUAAAGUGAAGUAAUCUCGUGUGUUUUACAAACGAUACCAAAACACCUAUAUUGUGUAACCCUCAACAAAACAACAGGAGAAAAAAGAAUUACACAUAUUAAUAUUGUUGAUACUCGUUUUAAACACCCGAGACUAACUUUAAUAGUGUGUUGUAGUUGUCAAAACACCAUUAUUAAAUAAAUCAAUAGGUGUCGAUAAUCUUUGUAAAACACAGACUAACUUUAAUUAGAGAGUCUUGCGGUCUAGCACAUCCAAUAUUACACAUAAUUAAAAGUGUUCUAGUACCGUUAAAACACCUAAACUUAACUAAAUGGGUGUUGAUCUGGUCAAAGCACCCACUAUUUACACACAAUGGAAUUUUACAAACGAUAUCCAGACACUAUAAAUUAUUAAAUAUGGGUGUCCCUGAAUCAGAAUACCUACACCCACUAUAAGUCCUGGAUUGUUAAAAACGAGUACCAGAACACACUAUAAUAUAACACCCAUUAAUAAAUUAAGUUUAGGUAAAAACGAUAUCCGUAUCAUCUAUUAACUAUUGUAUUUAAUAACGAAUAUCCAUACACCUAUAUAUUUAAAUAAUGGUAUAUUUACCAGACAACCAACAUCCACUAAUUAAAGUUAAAUAUUCUGUUUACAAACAGUAUCCAAACACCUAUUAAUCAUGUUUAAAAUAGUGUGUAUCCUCAAUCUAGACUACCCACACCCACUAAUUAUAAUAAGUUCUGGUAUUAAAAUGAGUAUCCGAACACCUAUUAAUUAUUAAAUAGCGAAUGUUCUCUGACCAGACAACGAACACCCAUUAAUAAAAAAAUCCGGAUAUUUACAAACAAUAUCCAAAACACUAUUUCCUCACCCUUUAUUAUUUGAUUCUAUCUAUUUGUUUUUCAAUUUAUUAUGUUCACUAUUUAUUACGAGAUCAUAUUGAGCUCUACUCGUACCUAGCUCGUCCGAAACUAGAUUUCCUCAAUUGUUUGUUUCUUGUCUACUAACCUUAUCAAGUUAGUUAAACUAUUUUAAGAGUUUUUGUAUGUUUAUAGACAAUGACACAUGCCUUCUGCAAUCAUUUGCUAAAUGGUGAUCUCCUAUAUGUUGUCUCUGUCUCAGCCUUAUCAAAUAACUCGGUUAUUAAAGUUUUGGUUUUUGAAGUCAAUGUCACACCCCUUCUCAUCAUUGUUAAAUAAUGACUCAUAUAUUGUUAUCUCUGCGUUUAGCCUAAGUUUUUAUGCUCUUGAGAUCAAUGUCACUACCCCCUUCCACAUCAUUUGCUAAAAUAGUGAUUUAUACUGCUAUUAACAAAACGAUCUCAACAGACUACCAACACCCACUAAUUAAUAGUAGUUCGGUGUUACAAACGAGUAUCCAAAAUAACUAUUAAAUUUUAAUAUGGAUGUCCUCUGUCUAAGACUUUACACCCACUAACUAUAAUUAAGCCGUGUUAAAAAACCUCUGACUUAGACUACUUACAUCCACUACCAUAAUUAAGUUAAAAAUGAGUAUUCAGACAUUAAAUAAAGUAUAAAUAGUGAAGUUCAACUAUAAACGAAUACCCACGAUAAAGUAAAUCCGGAUGUUACGAAAGAUAUACCAGAAUACCAUUAAAUAGUGUGAAAUAGGUUCGUGACCAGACAACCAACAUUCACUAAUUAAAUAUAAAUCUUAGAUAUUACAAAUAUCCAGAACACCUAUUUCUGUAGAUAAUUAGUAGUUGACCGACAAUGAACACCCACUAUUCUUCUUAUUAUAGGAUGAUAUGAAAUUAAUAUUGAAACAAUUUUUUUAGAUAUUAAAUUAUUGUUGUGAUUUGCUAGUUCAAGAAAAAAAUAGUAUGAAAUGAAAUUGUGGUGUUGUUUGAUUUUUUUUUGCAAGAUGAAAGAGAGAAGAUGCAGAGUUAGAAAACUCCGAAGGUUUAAAUUUGCUGCCGAAUGAACGGCCGGUACAGAGACAGAGGUUGAGGGCAACCCCCUCCAUACCGUAAACAGAAAUAAUAAAUAAAAGAUAUAAAAAAUAAAUAAUAAAUAAUAAAACAAUCACCCGCAAGAGGACGAAAUCUUGUAUGAUCAGCGUUCCGCUGGAUUUCAGUAAGCCGAAUGUACUAGGCCCUCCAACCAUGAAGCCCAUCGAGAAACCAUGUUGAGUUGCAUUAUUUAGCAGCCAAGAUCCAAAAAAAAAAAAAAAAAUAAAAACGGUCAGGCUCUGCAACUGGCAUAUACCACUUGAUAACACAACAUUAUAUUAAUCGGAUAAUAGCCNNNNNNNNNNNNNNNNNNNNNNNNNAUACACACUAUUAAAGUUUAGUUUAGGUGUUUUACAAACGGUUCUAGACACUUAUUAUUAUGUGUAAUAUUGGAUGUGCUCAGACCGACAAGAACUCUCGCAAUUAAAGUUAGUCUAGGUGUUUACAAAACGUUAUCGACACUAUUGAUUAUAUUUAAUAUGGGUGUCUUUGACAACUACAACACCACUAUUAAAGUUAAGUCUCGGGGUGUUUUACAAACGAGUAUCAACACCUAUUUUAUUUGUGUAAAUUAGUAAUUUAAUUUGAUCAGUUGAACAAAGAAUAAAAUAAAGGAUUCAAGAUGACAUGAAAAGUAUGCCUGCUAAAAUUACAACUGAAAUGCACUCAAAGUGAUCAGCGGCAAAAUAAACUUCUCGAAACAUAAUGUUUUCUUUAUUAUAGGAUGAUAUUGAUAUAUUUAAUUUUGAAAUCAAUUUUUUUUAGAUAUUUAAUAUAUUUUUGUUUGGUGAUUUGCUUAGUUUCAAGAAAAAAUAUAGUAUUGAAAUUGAAAUUGUGGUGUUGUUUGAUUUUUUUUUGCAGAGAUGGAAAGAGGGAGAAGAUGCUAGAGUUAGAAAACUCCGAAGGUUUAAAGUUUUGCUGCCGAAUGAAACGGUCCGGUACAGAGACUAGGAGGUUGAGGGGCAUACCCCCUCCAUACCUGUAAACAGAAAUAAUAAAUAAAAGAUAUAAAAAAUUGAAAAAUUAAUAAAUAAAAAUCAAUUCUUACCCUGCAAGUGGAGCGAAAUCUUGUAUGAUCAGGUUCGUUCCCUGGAUUUCAAGUAGAGCCGAAUGUAACAUAGGCCCUCCAACCAUGAAGCCCAUCUGAGAUACCAUGUCUUGAGUUGCUAUUAUUUUAGCACCAAAGUAAUCUCUAUAAAAGACUGCAGCUUCUGCAACUUGUGGAUAUACCACUGAUAACACAACAUUAUAUUAAUGGGAUAAUUAGGCUCAUUAUUUGGAGGGGGAAAGGGGGUAGUUGAAUCAGAUAAAAUCCAUCAAAUCCAAUUCCGAUUCACAUGCCUUGAUUCGAUUGGCCACAACCUCGACCUCCGUUGCGACCUCCAAUUCCUUGAGGAAUACCACGUCCGCUUCCGUGAGGAACAUGCACUCGUGGACCAUAAUCCCCGUAAUUCAUUGCUAAAUCUAGAAAAAAUUAUAAUGAGCUAAUUAGAAUCAAAAUCACAUAUAUUAACUAUCAAUGAAAACACUACCUAAAACCAUUACAUUAAUCAGAUUUGAAAUUCCAAUAAAAAAUCAUGUGAUAUAACAUCAUUUAGAAGAAUAAAAAAGGACAAGCAAAAAAGUUAAAUUAUUCAACAGUAGUCAACAGUGUAACAGAAUUGACUUACCAAUAAAAGUUCAAGAAAUAUUCAGUUCAAUUUUUUAGAAUAAAAACACACCAUAAGAACAUAAUAUUUAGAAUUAGUGAACAUACAUUGCAAGGACAAGAAAAAAAGUUAAAUUAUUCAAUAGUUUAUUCUAAUUAUGAGUAAAAGACAAGAAAAUUAAAUUAAACAAGUCAACAGUGUAACAGAAUCUACUUACCAAUAAAAGUUCAAAGAAAUAUUCAGUUCAAUUUUUUAGAAUAAAAGCACACCAUAAGAACAUAUAUUUAGAAUUAGUGAACAUACAUUGCAAGGACAAGAAAAAAAGUUUAAUUAUUCAACAGUUUAUUCUAAUUAUGAGUAAAAGACAAGAAAAUUAAAUAAAACCAGUCAACAGUGUAACAAAAUCCACUUACCAAUAAAAGUUCAAAGAAAUAUUCAAUUCAAUUGGAUCCAAGAACACACUGAGACCUAUAGUGCAAGAAAAAGUAAAAAAAAAAAACAAAAUUUAAAACAAGAACCUUAAUAAGAUUAAUAAGGUUAAAACACGAUAGAUAUAAAUUAAUCUUAAUUAGAACAAGAAUAUGAAAUUACCAAAUAAUUCUGUCGUCAAGGUCCCAAUCCCCAACCAGAACAGCGAGAGCGAAGAAAUCUACACAAAAUUUCGAGUCAAAUUCAGAAUCCAUAAAACGAACCUUGAUUAUAACAUUAAAAAAAAACAAUGUUCAUUCCAAGAAUAGAGAAACGAACGUAACUUUGGAAGACCAAACGAUUUUCUAAACAUAGAACAAACACUCUGAGCUAAAGCGUUUAUUUCAUACGUUGGUGUAUAUAUAAGCCCACAAAGAUAAAAAGAAAGAGAACCCAAGGGUUUUGAUUACAAUUAACUUAGUCUAGUUAAUUAAUGUAAUGUUGUUAGGGUUUUCUUUAUUUAAUUUGUUCGUUAAUUACUAAUAAUAUAAAACUCAAUAUUUUAUAUUUUAUGACUAAUUAGGAAAAUGAUAGGAUAAUUUAAGGAUUAUUAGGAUUAUUAGGAACUAUAAUUUUAUUAGGAUAAUUAAAAAUUAAUUAGUUAAGGUAAUUAAUUAAGUCUUAAACAAAAAAUAAAAAAUAAAAUAUUAAUUGAUAACUUUCUUUUUCUUUUUUUAUGUCUUAUUCAAAUAUAUAUCGUUUAAACACCUAAAACUAACUUUAUGUAUGGGGUUCAUAAUCUAAAUAGUGUUCUUGGAUACUCGUUUUUAAACACUUCCAGGACUUAAUUAGUGGGUGUGGUACUGAUCCAGAGGACACCCAUAUAUUAAACAUAAUUAACUAAGUGUCUGGAUACUGCGUUGUUAAAAUAUCCCAUUUUGUGUAAAUGUUGUGGUCUUCUCUGACCUAGACACCAACACCGCACUAAUUAAAGUUAGUUUAGGUUUGUUACAAACGUCGUACAUAACACUGUUAAUUAUGUGAAAUAUUGGAGUGUGCCAGACGGCAGACAAGAACUACUCGCAAUUAAAGUUAAGUCCUAGGUGUUACAAAACGUAUCCGAACCAACUAUUGAUUAUAUAUUAAAUAAUGGGCCUUUGACCAAACUACCCACCUACACUAAUGUAAAUUAAAGUCUCUCGGGGUUUUUACAAACGAUAUCCAAAACACUAUUAAUAUGUGUAAAUAGUAAGUUAAAUUUUUCGAUCACGUUGACAAAAGAAUAAAAAUAAAAGAGUUCAGAUGAAGAAAAAAUGCUGCGAACAAUACAACUUGGAAGCACAAAAUGAUCAGCGCAAAAUAAACUUCUGCGAAACAUACAUAGUUGAUAUUUGAAAUAAAAAAUGAUCGAUUAAAAGACUUAGGCUGAUCAAAAUAUGAUCGGGAAAAGGAUCGAAAAAUAAGAUAUGAGCACGUCAGGGUUAAACUACGGCGCAAAUCUAGUGUCGGCGACUGGAGAAUUACAUAAUCGCCAUCAUCCUUUUCGUUCCUAUAAGAACAAGGACAAUAAGAUAAACCUAAGAAUGGGUAGACAUUAGGAUUGCGGGAGUCGGUUAAUAAGGGGAAGGUGUUCUAGGCACCUUACUUCAUUGUCUCAACUGGGAUCCCCUUAUACGUCAGGGUUUCUACGUUCUAUGGAUCUUGCCAUAUUGUUUAUCAAUUUAUAAUUAACUUAUUAUAAGGCAUUGAUGUUAUUAGUAAAGAGAAAAAACGUAUUAAUAAAAAGAAUGACAAAGAAAAGUUCUUUGUUUUUGUACUCGCUAGAGUGUUACAACCUAUGUCUAUGUACCUUAAAAGUGUUGAAGGAUCAGAGCAUAAUAUUUAUCUAGAUAAGUGUUAUGUGUAAGCUAUUUUAGCUUUUUUGAAAAGGGUCCAUGAAUCGGGACGGAAAAAAUUUUGAAAAAAUGCUCCAACACAAGGUAUAGAACAUGAUGUUUUAGUGGGUUUAAAUUGAUUUUAAAAUGAGUAUGUUAAUCGAAAGAUGUGAUAUCAACCACUAAUAUUAAAAUGUUUGACUUUUAUUUUUAAUAUUNNNNNNNNNNNNNNNNNNNNNNNNNCGGUGGUGUUCCUCGGCGACGCGGACGUGGUAUUCCACGAUGGAGUAAUGGAGGUUGGGCGGCGAAUUCCAGAUCAGGAGCAUUCGAGUGGUAUUAAUGGAUUUAUCCGAUCAAUACCGCACUUCCCUCCAAGAUGGCAUCAUCGCCAUUUGAAUGAUAAUUGUUAUCACGUGGUAUCCCACAAGUUGCAGAAUUCGCGUUUAUAGAGAUUUUUUUGGUGACCUAAAAUAUAGCAACUCAGACAUGGUCAUCUGAGGGCUCGAUGGUUAGGUGCAUUGUUACAUUCGGCUCUACUGAAAUCCAGGGAACGAACUGAUACAUACAAGAUUUCGCUCCAUCUUGCAGGGGUAAGAAUUGUUUUAUUUAUUAAUUUUUCAUUUUUAUAUCUUUAUUUAUUAUUCUGUUACAGGUAUGAGGGGUAUGCCCUCACGCUCCUAGUCUCUGUACGCGGACCGUUUUCGCGCAAUUUAAACCUCGGAAGUUUUCUAACCUAGCAUCUUCUCCCUCUUUGCAUCUCUGAAAAAAUAAACAACAUCACAUUUCAAUUUCAUACUUAUUAUUUUUUGAAUAGCAAUCACAACAAAAAUAUAUAAUAUAUCUAAAAAAAUGAUUUCAAUAAUAAUAUUAUAUCAUCCUAUAUAAGAAGAAUUAGUGGGUGUUCAUUGUCCGGUCAAACAUACUAAUUAUCUACAGAAUAGGUGUUCUGGAUAUUUUGUAAAUAUCUAAGAUUUAAUUAUAAUUAGUGAAUGUUGGUUGUCUGGUCACGAAACACCUAACUAUUUAACAUAUUUAAUAGGUAUUUGGAUACUCUUUCGUAAACAUCCGGAUUAACUUUAUCGGGGUAUUCGUUGUCUAGUCUGACUUCCACUAUUUAUACAUUAAUAAUGUCUUGAAUAUCUCAUUUUAAAUUAAUUAUAGUUAGUGCGAUGUAGUAGUCUAGUCACGAGGUCAUUUAAACCAGCGGACUUAAUUAUAGUUAGUGGUGUAAUGUCUUAGACAGAGGACAUCCACUAUUUAAACAUAAUUAAUGAUUAUUUGGAUACUCGUUUGUAAACCCCGAACUAACUAUAAUUAGUGGGUGUUGUGUCUUGUUAGAUCUUUGUUAAUAGCUGUAUUGAAAAUCACUAUUUGAUGAUGUGGAAGGGGGUAGUGACAUUGAUCUCAAGAGAGCAUAACAACUCUUAGGCUAAACCAAGAGAUAACAUAUAUGAGAUCAUUAUUUUAACAAAUGUACGAAAGGUAGUGACAUUGAUCUACAAAAACACAACAAACUCUUAAAUAACCGGAGUAUGUUGAAUAAGGCUAAAGACAAGAAGAAACAAUAUAGGAGAUCAUAUUUAGCAAAUGAUGCAGAAAGGCAUAGUGUCAUGAUUCAUAAUAAACAUAAAAAAAACUCUUAAAAUAGCUGAAACUAACUUGAAAUAAGGUAAUAGACAAAGAAACAAAAUUGAGGCAAAUCUGCUUUCCGCGAGCUAGGAUCGAGUAGAGGAGUAAAUUGAUCUCGUAAUAAUAGUGAACAAAUAAUAAAGAAUUGAAAAACAAUAUAGAUAGAAAUUGAAUAAAUAAGGGUGAGAGAAAUAGGUGUUUUGGAUACUUUGUUUUAAAAUCUCCGGAUUUAGAUUUAAUUAUGGGGUGUUCGUUGUUGUCUGGUCAGAGACAUUCGCUAUUACCACAAUAUAAUAGGUGUUCGGGAUAUCAUUUUUAAAAUACCAGACUUAUUAAUUAGUGGGUGUUGGUAGUCCUAGAUUAGAGGUAUACACAUAGUUUAAAGCAUGAUUAAUAGGUGUUUGAUAUGUUUGUAACACACCAACAAUAUUUACUUUACUUAGUGGAAUGUUGGUUUGUCUGGUCAAAUAUACCCUUUUUACACAUAAUAAUAGUUAUGGAUUUGAUGUAAAUACGCAAUGUUACUGUGAUAGGAUACUCGUUUUUAACACCUAAAACUUAACUUUAAUUAAUGGGUGUUUAAUUAAAUAGUGUUCUGGAUACUCGUUUUUUAAAACAUGUCCACGGACUUAUUAGUGGGUGUGUAGUCUGUAUCAGAGGACCCAUUAUUAACUAAUUAAUAGUUUUGGAUACUCGUUUGUUAAAAUAUCCUUGUGUGUAAAUGGUGGUGUUCUCAUGACCAGACUACCACACUACUAUUAAGAUUAUUAGGUGUUUACAACGAGUACUAGACACUUAUAAUAUGUGUAAAUAUUGGAUGUGGCUCAGAGCGGCAAGACAAGAACUCUCCAAAGUGUAAGUCUAGUGUUUUACAAAACGAUUAUUCAGAACACCUGAUUGAUUAUAUUUAAUAAUGGGUGUCUUGACCCAAACUACCACCCUACUAAUGUAAAGUUAAGUCUGGGUUGUUUUUCAACGAGUAUCCAAACACUAUUAUAUGGUAAUAGUAGUUAAAUUCUUGAUCUAGUUGGAAAAAAGAAUAAAUAAAGGAUUCAGAUGAAGAAAAAUGCUCGAAUUACAACUGAAAUGCACUCAAAAUGAUCAUGCGCAAAAUAACUUCUGAAACAUACAAGUUUUGAUCAUUUUUGACAAUAAAAUGAUCGAUUAAAGCUUAGGCUUGAUCAAUAUGAUCGGGAAAAGGAGUCGAAAUAAGAAUGAGCACGUCAGUUUUACGCAACUACGUGCAAAACAAAUGUCGGCGACUGGAGAAUUGAGUGUCCAUCAUUAGUUUUCGUUCUAAAGAAGAACAAGGAAAUAAUGAUAACCAAGAUAUUGGGUGAGACAUUAGGAUUCGGGAGUCGGUUAAUAAGGGGAAGGUGUUUAGGCACCCUUACUUCUAUUGUACUCACGGAUCUCACUAUUACUUCUAGGGUUUCUAGGUUUUCUAUGGUGUUGCUUAUUGUUUAUCAUUUAGUGAAUUACUUUUUAUAAGGGUGAGUCUAUUAUAAGAAAUAUUGAUUAAAAGAAUGAACAAGGAAAAUUUUUGUGUUUUGUAGCUCUGCUGGUGUUACAUCUUAUGUCUAUGUACUUUAAAUGUGUUAAGGAUCAGAGCAAUCGUAUUUUAUCAAUAAUGUUUAUGUGUAAUGCUAUUGUAGCUUUUUUGAAAGUGGUCUCAAUGCAUCGGACGGAGAAAUUGUUUGACAAAUGUCUCCUAACCAAGGGUAUAGAACAUAUGUUUUAGGGCUUAAAUUGAUUUUAAUAAUUGGUAUGUUGACGUAAGAUGUGAUAUAACACUAAUUAUUUAAAUGUUUGACUUUUAUUUUUAUUAAAGUAUCGAUGAUUGCUGAUUGAAUUGUAGUGUUAAACUUUUUCACGAUAGUGCAUAACAAUUAAUUCGCUCUCUCUUCAUUUAUAUAUAUAUUAUUAAUUAUUUAUAUUAUAUUAUAUAUGAGUAUCCGUAUCAUCUAUUAACUAUUGUAUUUUACAAUCGAAUAUCCAUAACACCUAUUAAUUAUGUGUAAAUAAUGGGUAUUAUUUGACCAGACAACCAACAUCCACUAAUUAAAGUUAAAUAUUAGGUGUUUACAAACAGUUAUCCAAAACACCUAUUAAUCAUGUUUAAAUAGUGUGUAUCCUCUAAUCUAGACUACCUACACCCACUAAUUAUAAUUAAGUUCUGGGUAUUUAAAAAUGAGUAUCCCGAACACCUAUUAAUUAUGUUAAAUAGUGAAUGUUCUCUGACCAGACAACGAACACCCAUUAAUUAAAAUUAAAUCCUAGAUAUUUUACAAACAAGUAUCCAAAACACCUAUUUCUCCUCACCCUUUAUUUAUUGCAAUUUUCUAUCUAUUUUGUUUUUCAAUUUUUAAUUAUUUGGUUGCACUAAUUUAUUACGAGAUCAUAUUGGUAGCCUCUACUCGUAUCCUAGCUCGUCGGAAAGCCAGAUUUGCCUCAAUUGUUUGUUUCUUUGUCAUUACCCUUAUUCAAGUUAGUUUCAGCUAUUUUAAGAGUUUUUUUUUAUGUUUAUUAUGAAUCAAUGACACUAUGCCUUUCUGCAUCAUUUGCUAAAAUAGUGAUCUCCUAUAUUGUUUGUCUCUUGUCUUUAGCCUUAUUCAAAUUAACUUCGGUUAUUUUAAGAGUUUGUUGUGUUUUUGGUAGAUCAAUGUCACUACCUCUUUCUGCAACAUUUGUUAAAAUAAUGAUCUCAUAUAUUGUUUAUCUCUUGCGUUUAGCCUUAAGAGUUUGUUAUGCUUCUUUGAGAUCAAUGUCACUACCCCCUUUCCACAUCAUUUGCUAAAAUAGUGAUUUCAUAACUGUCUAUUUUAACAAAAUGAUUCUCUAACGAGACUACCAACACCCACUAAUUAUAGUUAAGUUCGGGGUGUUUUACAAACGAGUAUCCAAAAUAUCUAUUAAUUAUGUUUAAAUAGUGGAUGUCCUCUGUCUAAGACUAUUUACACCUACUAACUAUAAUUAAGUCGCGUGUGUUUAAAAAUGACCUCUGACUUAGACUACUUACAUCCACUAACUAUAAUUAAGUUUAAAAAUGAGUAUUCAGGACAUUAAUUAAUUAUGUAUAAAUAGUGGGAAUGUUCAGACUAGACAACGAAUACCCACGGAUUAAAGUUAAAUCCGGGAUGUUUUACGAAAGAGUAUCCAGAAUACCUAUUAAAUAUGUGUAAAUAGUGGGUGUUUCGUGACCAGACAACCAACAUUCACUAAUUAUAAUUAAAUCUUAGAUAUUUACAAAAUAUCCAGAACACCUAUUUCUGUAGAUAAUGAGUAUGUUUUGACCGGACAAUGAACACCCACUAAUUCUUCUUUAUUAUAGGAUGAUAUUGAUAUAUUUAAUUUUGAAAUCAAUUUUUUUUAGAUAUUUAAUAUAUUUUUGUUUGGUGAUUUGCUUAGUUUCAAGAAAAAAUAUAGUAUUGAAAUUGAAAUUGUGGUGUUGUUUGAUUUUUUUUUGCAGAGAUGGAAAGAGGGAGAAGAUGCUAGAGUUAGAAAACUCCGAAGGUUUAAAGUUUUGCUGCCGAAUGAAACGGUCCGGUACAGAGACUAGGAGGUUGAGGGGCAUACCCCCUCCAUACCUGUAAACAGAAAUAAUAAAUAAAAGAUAUAAAAAAUUGAAAAAUUAAUAAAUAAAAAUCAAUUCUUACCCUGCAAGUGGAGCGAAAUCUUGUAUGAUCAGGUUCGUUCCCUGGAUUUCAAGUAGAGCCGAAUGUAACAUAGGCCCUCCAACCAUGAAGCCCAUCUGAGAUACCAUGUCUUGAGUUGCUAUUAUUUUAGCACCAAANGAUUUGCCUCAAUUGUUUGUUUCUUUGUCAUUACCCUUAUUCAAGUUAGUUUCAGCUAUUUUAAGAGUUUUUUUUUAUGUUUAUUAUGAAUCAAUGACACUAUGCCUUUCUGCAUCAUUUGCUAAAAUAGUGAUCUCCUAUAUUGUUUGUCUCUUGUCUUUAGCCUUAUUCAAAUUAACUUCGGUUAUUUUAAGAGUUUGUUGUGUUUUUGGUAGAUCAAUGUCACUACCUCUUUCUGCAACAUUUGUUAAAAUAAUGAUCUCAUAUAUUGUUUAUCUCUUGCGUUUAGCCUUAAGAGUUUGUUAUGCUUCUUUGAGAUCAAUGUCACUACCCCCUUUCCACAUCAUUUGCUAAAAUAGUGAUUUCAUAACUGUCUAUUUUAACAAAAUGAUUCUCUAACGAGACUACCAACACCCACUAAUUAUAGUUAAGUUCGGGGUGUUUUACAAACGAGUAUCCAAAAUAACUAUUAAUUAUGUUUAAAUAGUGGAUGUCCUCUGUCUAAGACUAUUUACACCUACUAACUAUAAUUAAGUCGCGUGUGUUUAAAAAUGACCUCUGACUUAGACUACUUACAUCCACUAACUAUAAUUAAGUUUAAAAAUGAGUAUUCAGGACAUUAAUUAAUUAUGUAUAAAUAGUGGGAAUGUUCAGACUAGACAACGAAUACCCACGGAUUAAAGUUAAAUCCGGGAUGUUUUACGAAAGAGUAUCCAGAAUACCUAUUAAAUAUGUGUAAAUAGUGGGUGUUUCGUGACCAGACAACCAACAUUCACUAAUUAUAAUUAAAUCUUAGAUAUUUACAAAAUAUCCAGAACACCUAUUUCUGUAGAUAAUGAGUAUGUUUUGACCGGACAAUGAACACCCACUAAUUCUUCUUUAUUAUAGGAUGAUAUUGAUAUAUUUAAUUUUGAAAUCAAUUUUUUUUAGAUAUUUAAUAUAUUUUUGUUUGGUGAUUUGCUUAGUUUCAAGAAAAAAUAUAGUAUUGAAAUUGAAAUUGUGAUGUUGUUUGAUUUUUUUUUGCAGAGAUGGAAAGAGGGAGAAGAUGCUAGAGUUAGAAAACUCCGAAGGUUUAAAGUUUUGCUGCCGAAUGAAACGGUCCGGUACAGAGACUAGGAGGUUGAGGGGCAUACCCCCUUCAUACCUGUAAACAGAAAUAAUAAAUAAAAGAUAUAAAAAAUUGAAAAAUUAAUAAAUAAAAAUCAAUUCUUACCCUGCAAGUGGAGCGAAAUCUUGUAUGAUCAGGUUCAUUCCCUGGAUUUCAAGUAGAGCCGAAUGUAACAUAGGCCCUCCAACCAUGAAGCCCAUCUGAGAUACCAUGUCUUGAGUUGCUAUUAUUUUAGCACCAAAAUAAUCUCUAUAAAACACUGCAGCUUCUGCAACUUGUGGAUAUACCACUGAUAACACAACAUUAUAUUAAUGGGAUGAUUAGGCUCAUUAUUUGGAGGGGGAAAGGGGGUAGUUGAAUCGGAUAAAAUCCAUUAAAUCCAAUUCCGAUUCGCAUGCCUUGAUUGGAUUGGCCACGACCUCAACCUCCAUUGCGACCUCCAAUUCCUUGAGGAAUACCACGUCCGCGUCCGCGAGGAACACGCACUCGUGGACCAUAAUCCCCGUAAUUCAUUGCUUAAUCUAGAAUAUAAUGAGCUAAUUAGAAUCAAAAUCACAGAUAUUAACUAUCAAUGAAAACCCUACCUAAAACCAUUACAUUAAUUAGAUUCGAAAUUCCAACAAAAAAUCAUGUGAUAUAACAUCAUUUAGAAGAAUAAAAAAGGACAAGAAAAAAAGUUAAAUGAUUCAACAGUAGUCAACAGUGUAACAGAAUUGACUUACCAAUAUAAGUUCAAGAAAUAUUCAGUUCAAUUUUUUAGAAUAAAAACACACCAUAAGAACAUAAUAUUUAGAAUUAGUGAACAUACAUUGCAAGGACAAGAAAAAAAAGGUUAAAUUAUUCAAUAGUUUAUUCUAAUUAUGAGUAAAAGACAAGAAAAUUAAAUUAAACCAGUCAAAAGUGUAACAUAAUCUACUUACCAAUAAAAGUUCAAAGAAAUAUUCAGUUCAAUUUUUUUAGAAUAAAAGCACACCAUAAGAACAUAUAUUUAGAAUUAGUGAACAUACAUUGCAAGGACAAGAAAAAAAGGUAAAUUAUUCAACAGUUUAUUCUAAUUAUGAGUAAAAGACAAGAAAAUUAAAUAAAACCAGUCAACAGUGUAACAGAAUCCACUUACCAAUAAAAGUUCAAAGAAAUAUUCAAUUCAAUUGGAUCCAAGAACACACUGAGACCUAUAGUGCAAGAAAAAGUAAAAAAAAAACAAAAUUUAAAACAAGAACCUUAAUAAGAUUAAUAAGGUUAAAACACGAUAAAUAUAAAUUAAUCUUAAUUAGAACAAGAAUAUGAAAUUACCAAAUAGUUCUGUCGUAAAGGUCCCAAUCCCCAACCAGAACAGCGAGAGCGAAGAAAUCUACACAAAAUUUCAAGUCAAAUUCAGAAUCCAUAAAACGAACAUUGAUUAUAACAUUAAAAAAAACCAAUGUUCAUUCCAAGAAUAGAGAAACGAACGUAACUUUGGAAGACCAAACGAUUUUCUGAACAUAGAACAAACACUCUGAGCUAAAGCAUUUAUUUCAUACGUCGUUGUAUAUAUAAGCCCACAAAGAUAAAAAGAAAGAGAACCCAAGGGUUUUCAUUACAAUUAACUUAGUCUAGUUAAUUAAUUUAAUGUUGUUAGGGUUUUCUUUAUUUAAUUUGUUCGUUAAUUACUAUUAAAAUAAAAAUCAAUAUUUUAUAUUUUAUGACUAAU